UACUCCCUCGUUUUCAUGCCAGUAUAACGUUUUGUACUGUAGGUCUGCUCCUAAGAAAAUUAGAAUCAGGCAUUUGAGGAAUCAGUCAUGUAACUGUAGGUGAAAUACAUGAAAGAGACAUUAAUGCUUAUCCUGAAGUUCACAUUGUUCUUAUGUCUGCUACUAUUGAUACCAACAUGUUCUGUGAAUAUUUCUUCAAUUGCCCCAUCAUUGAAGUUUAUGGGAGGACUUAACCAAUUGAAGAAUAUUUUCUGGAAGACUGCAUUCGGAUGACCCACUUUGUUCCUCCACCAAAAGACAAGAAGAAGAAGGAUAAGGAUGAUGAUGGUGGUGAGGAUGAUUAUGAAAAUUGCAACUUGAUCUGUGGUGAUGAAUAUGGUCCAGAAACAAGGUUGAGCAGGUCUCAAUUGAACGAAAAGGAAACUCCCUUUUAAUUCAUCAAAGCUCUACUUAAGUACAUUGAAACUCUUAACGUUUCCGGAGCUGUUGUUUUGUUUUGUUUUGUUUUGUUUUGUUUUUUUGCCUGUCUGGAAUUUGAUUUAUACUGUGAAGAAGCAUUUGGAAAUGAAUCCACAUUUUGAUUCCUCCAGAGCAACAGCGCAAAGUGU